GGCCCGUUGGUCAAGAGGUUAAGACAUCGCCCUUUCACGGCGGAGUCAGGGGUUCGAUUCCCCUACGGGUCACCA
rnacentral:tRNA from 1 species